CAGUAGCCGCGGGAAAACGUAGGUGGCAAGCGUUGUCCGGAAUUAUUGGGCGUAAAGGGCUCGCAGGCGGUUUCUUAAGUCUGAUGUGAAAGCCCCCGGCCCAACCGGGGAGGGUCAUUGGAAACUGGGAAACUUGAGUGCAGAAGAGGAGAGUGGAAUUCCACGUGUAGCGGUGAAAUGCGUAGAGAUGUGGAGGAACACCAGUGGCGAAGGCGACUCUCUGGCCUGUAACUGACGCUGAGGAGCGAAAGCGUGGGGAGCGAACAGGAUUAGAUACCCCGGUAGUCCCUGUCUCUUAUAC
rnacentral:rRNA from 1 species